rnacentral:rRNA from 1 species
UGGCCUCGAAAGUCCGUCGGGAAAUCCACUGGCUCAACCAGUGGGCGUCCGGCGGAAACUUCGAGGCUUGGGACCGGAAGGCUCGAGAGGUACGUCCGGGGUAGGAGUGAAAUCCCGUAAUCCCGAACGGACCACCGAUGGCGAAAGCAUCUCGAGAAGACGGAUCCGACAGUGAGGGACGAAAGCUAGGGUCUCGAACCGGAUUAGAUACCCGGGUAGUCCUAGCCGUAAACGAUGUUCGCUAGGUGUGGCACAGGCUACGCGCCUGUGCUGUGCCGUAGGGAAGCCGAGAAGCGAACCGCCUGGGAA